rnacentral:rRNA from 1 species
UACGAAGGGGGCUAGCGUUGUUCGGAAUUACUGGGCGUAAAGCGCGCGCAGGCGGCCAUUCAAGUCAGGGGUGAAAGCCCAGAGCUCAACUCUGGAACUGCCUUUGAAACUGUAUGGCUUGAGUAUGAGAGAGGUGAGUGGAAUUCCUAGUGUAGAGGUGAAAUUCGUAGAUAUUGGGAAGAACACCGGUGGCGAAGGCGGCUCACUGGCUCAUUACUGACGCUCAGGCGCGGACAGCGUGGGGAUCAAACAGG